GACGAACGCUGGCGGCGUGCUUCAUACAUGCAAGUCGAACGUUAAGGCCCUUUCGGGGGUACAAAAGUGGCGGACGGGUGAGUAACACGUAGGAAAUCUACCUUAAAGUGGGGGAUAACAGUUGGAAACGACUGCUAAUACCGCAUAUGUCAUAGUUCGAAAUAAUUAUGAUGAAAGUUCUGGCGCUUUAAGAUGAGCCUGCGGCUGAUUAGCUUGUUGGUGGGGUAAAGGCCUACCAAGGCGACGAUCAGUAGCUGGUUUGAGAGGAUGAUCAGCCACAAUGGGACUGAGACACGGCCCAUACUCCUACGGGAGGCAGCAGUAGGGAAUUUUGCGCAAUGGGCGAAAGCCUGACGCAGCAACGCCGCGUGAGCGAUGAAGCCCUUUGGGGUGUAAAGCUCUGUCAGUGGGGACGAAUUUUGACGGUACCCACAGAGGAAGCAUCGGCUAACUACGUGCCAGCAGCCGCGGUAA
rnacentral:rRNA from 1 species